rnacentral:lncRNA from 1 species
UGCCUUCUUUUUUUAUGUCCGGGGAUUCAUAAAUAUCCUUAGGGAUGCUGGCAUAGUCCCCACUGCUCGGCUGUUCUUCCACUUCUUCACAUUCCAAAAUCCGAAGAAGGGCAGCCCUUUUAUUGCAUGUGCCAGCCGUGCUACCUCUAUUACUCACUCUGCCCUCUUGAAAGAUCCUCCGACCAGACGGAGCAAGAGUGAGUUCAUUUUUGUGGAUUGCAGGUUAUGCCCUGGUAGCAGACUUCUUCCUGCAUCCACUAGUGGCCGUAAACCCAUUCCUCGUCCUGAUCUGACUGAGGAUGAGGGAGCUUCCGUGCAAAAGCUGGCCUUUUUGCAUCCUAUCGCUGUGCCUGUCGGUCACGCGAUUGAAGAUACUUUUAACCGACAAGGUCUUCCUUUGCCUGUUUUCCUUUUUAUGUUUUUUAUACACAUAUAUAUUUUCUAACUCUGUUUUUAUUCUUUGCAGAUUUUUAUAUGCACAACCCUGGAGGUGUCCCUGAACGCGUUGGGCAAAACGAAACGGGCUCCAAGGUUUACGCAGCUGCCUCCAAGCCUUCUGAUGCUGAUCAUCUGAGGCAGCGUGCUCUAGAGAACGCCUACACUAUGGCGAAGUCCCCUACUCCUCCUGACGAGGUCCAACGAGCUGAGGACGGGGAGGUACCUCCGGAGGUACCUAAAGAUGCUACUCCUGGG